rnacentral:tRNA from 1 species
GCCCCUGUGGCGGAAUUGGUAGACGCGGCAGACUCAAAAUCUGUUUCACUUGGUGAGUGGGAGUUCGAUUCUCCCCGGGGGCACCA